rnacentral:rRNA from 1 species
CGGGUGAGUAACGCGUGGGUAACCUGCCUUGUACAGGGGGAUAACAGUUGGAAACGGCUGCUAAUACCGCAUAAGCGCACAGCAUCGCAUGAUGCAGUGUGAAAAACUCCGGUGGUAUAAGAUGGACCCGCGUUGGAUUAGCUAGUUGGUGAGGUAACGGCCCACCAAGGCGACGAUCCAUAGCCGACCUGAGAGGGUGAACGGCCACAUUGGGACUGAGACACGGUCCAA